rnacentral:rRNA from 1 species
GACGAACGCUGGCGGCGUGCUUAACACAUGCAAGUCGAACGGAAAGGCCCUGCUUUUGUGGGGUGCUCGAGUGGCGAACGGGUGAGUAACACGUGAGUAACCUGCCCUUGACUUUGGGAUAACUUCAGGAAACUGGGGCUAAUACCGGAUAGGAGCUCCUGCUGCAUGGUGGGGGUUGGAAAGUUUCGGCGGUUGGGGAUGGACUCGCGGCUUAUCAGCUUGUUGGUGGGGUAGUGGCUUACCAAGGCUUUGACGGGUAGCCGGCCCGAGAGGGUGACCGGCCACAUUGGGACUGAGAGACGGCCCAGACGCCUACGGGAGGCAGCAGUGGGGAAUAUUGCACAAUGGGCGGAAGCCUGAUGCAGCAACGCCGCGUGCGGGAUGACGGCCUUCGGGUUGUAAACCGCUUUCGCCUGUGACGAAGCGUGAGUGACGGUAAUGGGUAAAGAAGCACCGGCUAACUACGUG